GGAAGUCUUUCCACAAUGGGCGCAAGCCUGAUGGAGCAACACCGCGUGAGUGAAGAAGGGUUUCGGCUCGUAAAGCUCUGUUGUUAAAGAAGAACACGUAUGAGAGUAACUGUUCAUACGUUGACGGUAUUUAACCAGAAAGUCACGGCUAACUACGUGCCGG
rnacentral:rRNA from 1 species